rnacentral:rRNA from 1 species
AUACGUAGGGGGCGAGCGUUGUCCGGAAUGAUUGGGCGUAAAGGGCGUGUAGGAGGUCUUGCAAGUCAGAAGUGAAAUUCCUGAGCUCAACUCGGGCGCUGCUUCUGAAACUGCAGGACUUGAGUGCUGGAGGGGAUAGCGGAAUUCCUAGUGGAGCGGUAAAAUGCGCAGAUAUUAGGAAGAACACCGGUGGCGAAGGCGACUAUCUGGUCAGUAACUGACGCUGCGGCGCGAAAGCGUGGGGAGCAAACAGGAUUAGAUACCCUGGUAUUCCACGCCGUAAACGAUGAAUACUAGGUGUAGGGGGUAUCGACUCCCUCUGUGCCGCAGUUAACACAAUAAGUAUUCCGCCUGGGGAGUACGGCCGCAAUGUGGAAACUUAAAGGAAUUGACGGGU